rnacentral:rRNA from 1 species
UGCAAGUCGAACGGUGAAAGAGGAGCUUGCUCCUCUGGAUCAGUGGCGAACGGGUGAGUAACACGUGAGUAACCUGCCCUUGACUCUGGGAUAAGCACUGGAAACGGUGUCUAAUACCGGAUACGAGCUUCAGCCGCAUGGCUAGGAGCUGGAAAGAAUUUCGGUCAAGGAUGGACUCGCGGCCUAUCAGCUAGUUGGUGAGGUAAUGGCUCACCAAGGCGACGACGGGUAGCCGGCCUGAGAGGGUGACCGGCCACACUGGGACUGAGACACGGCCCAGACUCCUACGGGAGGCAGCAGUGGGGAAUAUUGCACAAUGGGCGCAAGCCUGAUGCAGCAACGCCGCGUGAGGGACGACGGCCUUCGGGUUGUAAACCUCUUUUAGUAGGGAAGAAGCGAAAGUGACGGUACCUGCAGAAAAAGCACCGGCUAACUACGUGCCAGCAGCCGCGGUAAUACGUAGGGUGCAAGCGUUAUCCGGAAUUAUUGGGCGUAAAGAGCUCGUAGGCGGUUUGUCGCGUCUGCUGUGAAAACUGGAGGCUCAACCUCCAGCCUGCAGUGGGUACGGGCAGACUAGAGUGCGGUAGGGGAGAUUGGAAUUCCUGGUGUAGCGGUGGAAUGCGCAGAUAUCAGGAGGAACACCGAUGGCGAAGGCAGAUCUCUGGGCCGUAACUGACGCUGAGGAGCGAAAGCAUGGGGAGCGAACAGGAUUAGAUACCCUGGUAGUCCAUGCCGUAAACGUUGGGAACUAGAUGUAGGGGCCAUUCCACGGCUUCUGUGUCGCAGCUAACGCAUUAAGUUCCCCGCCUGGGGAGUACGGCCGCAAGGCUAAAACUCAAAGGAAUUGACGGGGGCCCGCACAAGCGGCGGAGCAUGCGGAUUAAUUCGAUGCAACGCGAAGAACCUUACCAAGGCUUGACAUAUACCCGGAAAAGUUCAGAAAUGUUCUCCCCGCAAGGCCGGUAUACAGGUGGUGCAUGGUUGUCGUCAGCUCGUGUCGUGAGAUGUUGGGGUUAAGUCCCGCAACGAGCGCAACCCUCGUUCUAUGUUGCCAGCACGUAAUGGUGGGAACUCAUAGGA